rnacentral:rRNA from 1 species
AGUGAACGCUGGCGGUAGGCCUAACACAUGCAAGUCGAACGGCAGCACAGUAAGAGCUUGCUCUUACGGGUGGCGAGUGGCGGACGGGUGAGGAAUACAUCGGAAUCUACUUUUUCGUGGGGGAUAACGUAGGGAAACUUACGCUAAUACCGCAUACGACCUACGGAUGAAAGCAUGGGAUCUUCGGACCUUGCGCGAUUGAAUGAGCCGAUGUCGGAUUAGCUAGUUGGCGGGGUAAAGGCCCACCAAGGCGACGAUCCGUAGCUGGUCUGAGAGGAUGAUCAGCCACACUGGAACUGGGACACGGUCCAGACUCCUACGGGAGGCAGCAGUGGGGAAUAUUGGACAAUGGGCGCAAGCCUGAUCCAGCCAUACCGCGUGGGUGAAGAAGGCCUUCGGGUUGUAAAGCCCUUUUGUUGGGAAAGAAAAGCAGCAGGUUAAUACCCCGCUGUUCUGACGGUACCCAAAGAAUAAGCACCGGCUAACUUCGUG